GCUUUUCCUGAUGACGAGUGGCGGACGGGUGAGUAAAGUUUGGGAAGCUACCUGAUAGAGGGGGACAACAGUUGGAAACGACUGCUAAUACCGCAUACAGCCUGAGGGUGAAAGCAGCAAUGCGCUAUCAGAUGCGCCCAAAUGGGAUUAGCUAGUAGGUGAGGUAAAGGCUCACCUAGGCGACGAUCUCUAGCUGGUCUGAGAGGAUGAUCAGCCACAUUGGGACUGAGACACGGCCCAGACUCCUACGGGAGGCAGCAGUAGGGAAUAUUGCACAAUGGAGGAAACUCUGAUGCAGCCAUGCCGCGUGUGUGAAGAAGGCCUUCGGGUUGUAAAGCACUUUCGGAGGGGAGGAGAAUGACGUUACCCUCAGAAGAAGCACCGGCUAACUCCGUGCCAGCAGCCGCGGUAAUACGGAGGGUGCAAGCGUUAAUCGGAAUAACUGGGCGUAAAGGGCAUGCAGGCGGUUAAACAAGUAGGAUGUGAAAUCCCCGGGCUCAACCUGGGAGCUGCAUACUAAACUGUUUAACUAGAGUAUUGCAGGGGGAGACGGAAUUCCAGGUGUAGCGGUGGAAUGCGUAGAUAUCUGGAAGAACACCAAAGGCGAAGGCAGUCUCCUGGGCAAAUACUGACGCUCAUAUGCGAAAGCGUGGGUAGCAAACAGGAUUAGAUACCCUGGUAGUCCACGCCGUAAACGAUGUCAAUUAGGAGCUUGUGCGAUAGUAUGGGUUCCGCAGCAAACGCGAUAAAUUGACCGCCUGGGGAGUACGGCCGCAAGGUUAAAACUCAAAUGAAUUGACGGGGGCCCGCACAAGCGGUGGAGCAUGUGGUUUAAUUCGACGCAACGCGAAGAACCUUACCUGACCUUGACAUAGUGAGAACCUCUCUGAAAGGGAGAGGGUGCCUUCGGGAGCUCACAUACAG
rnacentral:rRNA from 1 species